rnacentral:rRNA from 1 species
UACGAAGGGGGCUAGCGUUGUUCGGAAUUACUGGGCGUAAAGGGCGCGUAGGCGGUGUGUCAAGUCAGGCGUGAAAGCCCCGGGCUCAACCUGGGAACCGCGCUUGAGACUGGCACGCUAGAGUUCGGGAGAGGAUGGUGGAAUUCCCAGUGUAGAGGUGAAAUUCGUAGAUAUUGGGAAGAACACCGAUGGCGAAGGCAGCCAUCUGGGCCGACACUGACGCUGAGGCGCGAAAGCGUGGGGAGCGAACAGG